AUCUGGAGGGCCCGUAUCCCUCCUAAGAUCAAGAUCUUUCUGUGGCAAGCUUCUCGUGGGCGGCUUCCAACUGGUGACCAGAUCCGCAAGCGCAAUGGGCCUGGGUCGGAUCGUUGCGCUCUCUGUGGUCUGAGAGAAGACACUAUGCAUGCUUUCUUCUCUUGUGUUUUGGCUAAAUUAUUUUGGUGCUGUAUUAGAUCUUGGUUGCAAGUCGCCUGA
rnacentral:rRNA from 1 species